rnacentral:rRNA from 1 species
GUCGAAGAGAUUAUCCAGCUUGCUGGAUAUGAAAGUGGCGCACGGGUGCGUAACGCGUAUGCAACCUACCUUAAUCAGGGGGAUAGCCCGGAGAAAUCCGGAUUAACACCGCAUAAAAACACAGGAUAGCAUUAUCCAAUGUUCAAAUAUUUAUAGGAUUAAGAUGGGCAUGCGUGUCAUUAGCUAGUUGGCGGGGUAACGGCCCACCAAGGCGACGAUGACUAGGGGAUCUGAGAGGAUGGCCCCCCACACUGGUACUGAGACACGGACCAGACUCCUACGGAGGCAGCAGUAAGGAAUAUUGGUCAAUGGGGGCAACCCUGAACCAGCCAUGCCGCGUGCAGGAAGACUGCCCUAUGGGUUGUAAACUGCUUUUAUCCGGGAAUAAACCUUUCUACGUGUAGGAAGCUGAAUGUACCGGAAGAAUAAGGAUCGGCUAACUCCGUGCCAGCAGCCGCGGUAAUACGGAGGAUCCAAGCGUUAUCCGGAUUUAUUGGGUUUAAAGGGUGCGUAGGCGGCCUGUUAAGUCAGGGGUGAAAGACGGUAGCUCAACUAUCGCAGUGCCCUUGAUACUGAUGGGCUUGAAUAAACUAGAGGUAGGCGGAAUGAGACAAGUAGCGGUGAAAUGCAUAGAUAUGUCUCAGAACACCGAUUGCGAAGGCAGCUUACUAUGGUUUAAUUGACGCUGAGGCACGAAAGCGUGGGGAUCAAACAGGAUUAGAUACCCUGGUAGUCCACGCCCUAAACGAUGAACACUCGCUGUUGGCGAUACACAGUCAGCGGCUAAGCGAAAGCGUUAAGUGUUCCACCUGGGGAGUACGCCCGCAAGGGUGAAACUCAAAGGAAUUGACGGGGGCCCGCACAAGCGGAGGAGCAUGUGGUUUAAUUCGAUGAUACGCGAGGAACCUUACCCGGGCUUGAAAGUUAGUGAAUCAUUUAGAGAUAGAUGAGUGAGCAAUCACACGAAACUAGGUGCUGCAUGGCUGUCGUCAGCUCGUGCCGUGAGGUGUUGGGUUAAGUCCCGCAACGAGCGCAACCCCUAUGUUUAGUUGCCAGCACGUAAUGGUGGGGACUCUAAACAGACUGCCUGUGCAAACAGAGAGGAAGGAGGGGACGACGUCAAGUCAUCAUGGCCCUUACGUCCGGGGCUACACACGUGCUACAAUGGAUGGUACAGAGGGCAGCUACAUAGCAAUAUGAUGCGAAUCUCACAAAGCCAUUCACAGUUCGGAUUGGGGUCUGCAACUCGACCCCAUGAAGUUGGAUUCGCUAGUAAUCGCGUAUCAGCAAUGACGCGGUGAAUACGUUCCCGGGCCUUGUACACACCGCCCGUCAAGCCAUGGAAGCUGGGGGUACCUAAAGUAUGAACCGCAAG